AUCUGGACUAUGUUCUUCAAU
rnacentral:miRNA from 1 species